GCCUAAAGAAGGUGGUAAGCUCCACCUAAGGCUAAAUAUCACUGUGAGACCGAUAGCAAACAAGUACCGUGAGGGAAAGUUGCAAAGAACUUUGAAGAGAGAGUUCAAUAGGACGUGAAACCGUUUGCAGGGAAACAGAUGGACCCACGAAGUCCAGUUGACUGUGAAAUUCACAUCUCAAGACUGUUUAAACUUUAGUGUACACCUUCUAUUGAAGAUGUCCUUUUGUUUUUGACAGUCGAGAGAUGCAUUUUUCACAUUCACGAUGGAGCUCUGACUUCUCAACCAAACUGAACUGCUCAGGGCAGCUCUUAUAUGUAGUAAGAUUCAUGUAAUCUUCAAUAUAUAUUUGAGUGUGCAGUAAGGUUUAACUGAGGGGUUGAAUUUCUCACUUUUGUGAGUGAUUCAGUUUAUCGGAGAAUAUGUUAGAUAGGAAAGAGGCAAGUGGCUCUUUUCGACUCUUGUAGUUGAAAUUGUUAGUUGUUCGCUUUCCAAUAUAUCUAACAUAUUUACCAAUGAUAAUCCAGAGUAAGUAGGUCGGUCAUCCAUCUGACC
rnacentral:rRNA from 1 species